GACGAACGCUGGCGGCGUGCUUAACACAUGCAAGUCGAACGGAAAGGCCCUGCUUUUGUGGGGUGCUCGAGUGGCGAACGGGUGAGUAACACGUGAGUAACCUGCCCUUGACUUUGGGAUAACUUCAGGAAACUGGGGCUAAUACCGGAUAGGAGCUACUGCUGCAUGGUGGGGGUUGGUAAGUUUCGGCGGUUGGGGAUGGACUCGCGGCUUAUCAGCUUGUUGGUGGGGUAGUGGCUUACCAAGGCUUUGACGGGUAGCCGGCCUGAGAGGGUGACCGGCCACAUUGGGACUGAGAUACGGCCCAGACUCCUACGGGAGGCAGCAGUGGGGAAUAUUGCACAAUGGGCGGAAGCCUGAUGCAGCAACGCCGCGUGCGGGAUGACGGCCUUCGGGUUGUAAACCGCUUUCGCCUGUGACGAAGCGUGAGUGACGGUAAUGGGUAAAGAAGCACCGGCUAACUACGUG
rnacentral:rRNA from 1 species